rnacentral:rRNA from 1 species
ACAGGGUGACAGCCCCGUACACAAAAAUGCACAUGCUGUGAGCUCGAUGAGUAGGGCGGGACACGUGGUAUCCUGUCUGAAUAUGGGGGGACCAUCCUCCAAGGCUAAAUACUCCUGACUGACCGAUAGUGAACCAGUACCGUGAGGGAAAGGCGAAAAGAACCCCGGCGAGGGGAGUGAAAAAGAACCUGAAACCGUGUACGUACAAGCAGUGGGAGCACGCUUAGGCGUGUGACUGCGUACCUUUUGUAUAAUGGGUCAGCGACUUAUAUUCUGUAGCAAGGUUAACCGAAUAGGGGAGCCGAAGGGAAACCGAGUCUUAACUGGGCGUUAAGUUGCAGGGUAUAGACCCGAAACCCGGUGAUCUAGCCAUGGGCAGGUUGAAGGUUGGGUAACACUAACUGGAGGACCGAACCGACUAAUGUUGAAAAAUUAGCGGAUGACUUGUGGCUGGGGGUGAAAGGCCAAUCAAACCGGGAGAUAGCUGGUUCUCCCCGAAAGCUAUUUAGGUAGCGCCUCGUGAACUCAUCUCCGGGGGUAGAGCACUGUUUCGGCAAGGGGGUCAUCCCGACUUACCAACCCGAUGCAAACUGCGAAUACCGGAGAAUGUUAUCACGGGAGACACACGGCGGGUGCUAACGUCCGUCGUGAAGAGGGAAACAACCCAGACCGCCAGCUAAGGUCCCAAAGUCAUGGUUAAGUGGGAAACGAUGUGGGAAGGCCCAGACAGCCAGGAUGUUGGCUUAGAAGCAGCCAUCAUUUAAAGAAAGCGUAAUAGCUCACUGGUCGAGUCGGCCUGCGCGGAAGAUGUAACGGGGCUAAACCAUGCACCGAAGCUGCGGCAGCGACGCUGAUGCGUUGUUGGGUAGGGGAGCGUUCUGUAAGCCUGCGAAGGUGUGCUGUGAGGCAUGCUGGAGGUAUCAGAAGUGCGAAUGCUGACAUAAGUAACGAUAAAGCGGGUGAAAAGCCCGCUCGCCGGAAGACCAAGGGUUCCUGUCCAACGUUAAUCGGGGCAGGGUGAGUCGACCCCUAAGGCGAGGCCGAAAGGCGUAGUCGAUGGGAAACAGGUUAAUAUUCCUGUACUUGGUGUUACUGCGAAGGGGGGACGGAGAAGGCUAUGUUGGCCGGGCGACGGUUGUCCCGGUUUAAGCGUGUAGGCUGGUUUUCCAGGCAAAUCCGGAAAAUCAAGGCUGAGGCGUGAUGACGAGGCACUACGGUGCUGAAGCAACAAAUGCCCUGCUUCCAGGAAAAGCCUCUAAGCAUCAGGUAACAUCAAAUCGUACCCCAAACCGACACAGGUGGUCAGGUAGAGAAUACCAAGGCGCUUGAGAGAACUCGGGUGAAGGAACUAGGCAAAAUGGUGCCGUAACUUCGGGAGAAGGCACGCUGAUAUGUAGGUGAAGCGACUUGCUCGUGGAGCUGAAAUCAGUCGAAGAUACCAGCUGGCUGCAACUGUUUAUUAAAAACACAGCACUGUGCAAACACGAAAGUGGACGUAUACGGUGUGACGCCUGCCCGGUGCCGGAAGGUUAAUUGAUGGGGUUAGCGCAAGCGAAGCUCUUGAUCGAAGCCCCGGUAAACGGCGGCCGUAACUAUAACGGUCCUAAGGUAGCGAAAUUCCUUGUCGGGUAAGUUCCGACCUGCACGAAUGGCGUAAUGAUGGCCAGGCUGUCUCCACCCGAGACUCAGUGAAAUUGAACUCGCUGUGAAGAUGCAGUGUACCCGCGGCAAGACGGAAAGACCCCGUGAACCUUUACUAUAGCUUGACACUGAACAUUGAGCCUUGAUGUGUAGGAUAGGUGGGAGGCUUUGAAGUGUGGACGCCAGUCUGCAUGGAGCCGACCUUGAAAUACCACCCUUUAAUGUUUGAUGUUCUAACGUGGACCCGUGAUCCGGGUUGCGGACAGUGUCUGGUGGGUAGUUUGACUGGGGCGGUCUCCUCCUAAAGAGUAACGGAGGAGCACGAAGGUUGGCUAAUCCUGGUCGGACAUCAGGAGGUUAGUGCAAUGGCAUAAGCCAGCUUGACUGCGAGCGUGACGGCGCGAGCAGGUGCGAAAGCAGGUCAUAGUGAUCCGGUGGUUCUGAAUGGAAGGGCCAUCGCUCAACGGAUAAAAGGUACUCCGGGGAUAACAGGCUGAUACCGCCCAAGAGUUCAUAUCGACGGCGGUGUUUGGCACCUCGAUGUCGGCUCAUCACAUCCUGGGGCUGAAGUAGGUCCCAAGGGUAUGGCUGUUCGCCAUUUAAAGUGGUACGCGAGCUGGGUUUAGAACGUCGUGAGACAGUUCGGUCCCUAUCUGCCGUGGGCGCUGGAGAACUGAGGGGGGCUGCUCCUAGUACGAGAGGACCGGAGUGGACGCAUCACUGGUGUUCGGGUUGUCAUGCCAAUGGCACUGCCCGGUAGCUAAAUGCGGAAGAGAUAAGUGCUGAAAGCAUCUAAGCACGAAACUUGCCCCGAGAUGAGUUCUCCCUGACCCUUUAAGGGUCCUGAAGGAACGUUGAAGACGACGACGUUGAUAGGCCGGGUGUGUAAGCGCAGCGAUGCGUUGAGCUAACCGGUACUAAUGAACCGUGAGGCUUAACCUU